AUGAACGCUGGCGGCGUGCUUAACACAUGCAAGUCGAACGAAGCACUUUAUUUGAUUUCCUUCGGGACUGAUUAUUUUGUGACUUAGUGGCGGACGGGUGAGUAACGCGUGGGUAACCUGCCUUGUACAGGGGGAUAACAGUUGGAAACGGCUGCUAAUACCGCAUAAGCGCACGGCAUCGCAUGAUGCAGUGUGAAAAACUCCGGUGGUAUAAGAUGGACCCGCGUUGGAUUAGCUAGUUGGUGAGGUAACGGCCCACCAAGGCGACGAUCCAUAGCCGACAUGAGAGGGUGACCGGACACAUUGGGACUGAGACACGGCACAAACUCCUACGGGAGGCAGCAGUGGGGAAUAUUGCACAAUGGGCGAAAGCAUGAUGCAGCGACGCCGCGUGAGCGAAGAAGUAUUUCGGUAUGUAAAGCUCUAUCAGCAGGGAAGAUAAUGACGGUACCUGACUAAGAAGCACCGGCUAAAUACGUG
rnacentral:rRNA from 1 species